UUUCUCCAUCGAUCCUGACACUCCGUCACUUCUCAUCCGGGCAUUUCCCACUUUUAAAAAAUUCCUCCACCACCACUAUUUCCCCCCCCAAAAAAAGGGGGAAAAGAAAAAAAUAAACGGCUCGGACGGGGGAGGGCGCUGCGGUCCGGGGGGAGGGGCCGGACUAGCGGCACCUCCUCGUGUGGCUGCGCCAGCAGCCGCCCCCCGCGGGGAGCCGCGCUCACCCGCUCGGCCAGCCGGCCAUCGCCUCACCCCCGCCCCCCCGUCAACCAACAAACCCGCCGCCCGCCGCGCCCCCCCCAACCUGCCGCGCGCGCGCCCUCCCAGACUCUUGCGCAGCCGCCGGAGAAGGGGGGGGGUGAGAAAGGGCCUUGCGCGCGGCCUAGUAGGCCGCGCCGAAACCAGGGCCUCGCGUGAGCCGCGGGGCGGGCGGGGUGAGGGGGAAAGCGGUCACGCGGUGUUACGCGAGGCCGGGGCUCGUGACGAGGCCUAGGGCCCUCUAACAGCCUAGAGCGGCCCCAUGUGCAGCGUCGGUAUCAACGAGACGAAGGCUGAUAGUAGAUUAAAGUGGCGAGCUAGAGCGGCACGUUGGGGGGGCGAGGAGGAAAGUCGCGACCCCUAGUGGGCAAGGAAGGGAGAAGGAAGGUACUAUUGGGUACAAGGAAAUAUAUUGGUCAGAAGAUAGUUCAGCCAUUGCGACCUUCCCUAAGGACAACUGCAAGAGAUGGUCAGAUUUGAUGGAGGAAUCUUGAGGUCUGAGCAGUGAAGGACUCAAUGAAUUGGAAUAGGAAUAGCUGAUAUUUUAUAUAACGCUUAAAGUUUACAAAACUAUACAAAAUAUAUAUUAUCUCAUGUAAUCCUCAAAUUGAGGUGGGCACCACAGAUGAUUUUCAUCCCCAUUGUAUAGAUGAGAAAACUGAGGCUCAUAGAGAUUAAGUGAUAUGCCUGUAAGUCACACUGCUCUUAGGAGUCAGAGGCAAAAUACAAAUCAGAUCUUCCCAUUUCAAGGCUCUUUCUACUAUAACGCUUGCUUCUCCAAAUAUCAAUGUGUGUUUCUCCAAGAGAUUCAGAAGAGACACACUACCCCAGCUCCACUCAAACUGAUGGAAGCCACCUAAGAAGAGAUCUAGGAAGUUAUCUUAUUUGACUAGUCAUUGUGCAAGUGAAGAAACUGAAGCUCAGAAAGUGAAGUGACUUGUCCAGGGUCACCCAGGGAGUAAUGAAGUAGCAGAGCCCAGGUCAUCUGGCUCUAAAGAUGGUUGGUACAUGACACUGAACUUACUCCCUACCUAGAACCCUGAGGCUCAUCUAUGAAAUCUGUGCUGACUGCAUAAAUCGAUAUAUCCAUCUUCUAUCUGCCCUCUGUAGUCAUCCAAGUCCCUUCCCAUUUACGCCCUAUAAAAACAUUUGUUCACCUAACCUCUCUCAUCCACUCUAAUCUCACUUUCCCCCUGUUAACCCUGUUAUGCUUUUGGACAUAACCUUUCCCCAAUCCCUCUCUACCUCCACAGACCCUUUCCACUGGCUUUUAGAUGACCAGUCAACAAAUUCCUCCUCAUCUUCUAGCUCUUCAUUUGCCACUGCUUGAGCCUCCCAGCACUAGAGUACAAUUACAAAGAAAGUACGUUUUUAAGCCUUAAGCAUCAUAAAAAUAUUAUUAUUAACAAACAAGCCAUUAACCCUUUUCCCUUGAGUACAACUCAUUACUAUCCUUUCUCUACAAUGCUUCUGCUCUCUAACAUAUAACGACAUUACCUGCUAGACACCUCCAAGUCCUUGUUCUGCCACCAUAACUUAACAAAUUUAUGCCACAAAUUAAAAUACACUCUCUGAGCCUAAUCACCGCUAUUGACUGACCUCCAGGACUGCCUCUCCCACCUUCCUUAAUGAGUUUAGCAUUCUUUUAGUCUCUCCUACUAGUCUCUUGGAGUCCUCAGUAUUCUGUUUGGUGACCAUUCUGACUCUGGCCUCUCAGUAAGUUCCUCACCACCUCAAGACUUCUAUCUGCACCCUACUUGUGCCACCCAGAGAGAUGGUCAUACGUAGACCACAUCAUCUGUACAACCCCCAAGAUCUUGAAUUCUGACCUCAAUUCCCAAACUGUUCCUUGGCAUCACCUUAACACCUUAACAUCCCCAAGUUCAUCCCUAUUCUGACUUCACUUCCCUCCCUCAAAUGGUUAUUCUCAGUCCUUAUCCACCUUGACUUGCCCUUUCCCUUAAUUUGCCUGUGUGUUACAGAUUCCACCAACCUCCCAGGCCUCCAAGCUCAAGACCUAAGUGUCAUCUUUGACUCACCAUUCUUUCUCAUCUGUCGCAUCUAAUCUGUUUGUUCUUCUAUUUCCAAGUAUCAUGUUUGCUAUCUCCACAUGCCUCAGGGUUACCUCAAAUUCAACAGGUUCAAAUCCUCAUACUGUCUUCAAAAACCUGUCCCUUAAUUUUCCAGUUUCUGUUACUGACACUACCAUUCUUAGUCCCCAGGGCUCAAAACCUCAUGGUCAUCUGUGACUCUCCCCUCUCCCUCCUCUCUGAUCCUCAAUAAUCAACCAGCCCCUGUCCUUUUUCUCUUUAAAAUCUGUCUCUUCCUUUCCGCUCUCACUACCACUAUAUAGUUCAGGCUUUUAUGGCCUCUUCAUUGCACUGCUGUAUAAAACUGCAACAGCCUCUUAAGUGACCUCCUGCCUCCACUCUCUCCCCUCCCCAGUUCCAUCUAGCUGCUGCCAAAUCCAUUUUCCUGGUGUGCAAGUUGGAUGAUGUCAGUUCCCUGCUCAAAACGUAUCAUAUAAUUCUCCAUUAUAGAAUUACAGAAUCUUCUUCAGAAUCAUCUCACCUAAUCCACCCCCAAGCCAGAUAUAACAUCCAUGACAAGUGAUCCUGUAGCUUCUGCUCGAAGACCUCUAGUGAUGGGAAACUCACUACCUCCUUUGGCAGUCCACUUUUGGGUGGCACUGUUUGUUUGCAGUUUUUCAUUAAACUGAGCUAAAACAGCAUCACUUGCCACUUGCAUCCACAGCCCCUAGCUCUGCCCACUGGAGCAGAACAAGUAGACGUGGUCCUGAUUCCUCCUCCAUAUACAGCUCUUCUAAUACCUGAACACAGCUAUCCAGUCUUCUCCCAACUCGAGAGCUGUACAUUUGAUACCUACGCUAUCUAUGCCUUCAUUCAAGUCACUUGAUGAGCAGCACAAAACUAAUGACAGAUCUCUGGGGCAUUCAUGAAAAACCUCUCUGUAGGUUGGUAUCUAUCCAUUAAUAUAGAAACCAGUAAUUCUAUGGCAUAGUUUCCAGGCCUCUCAUCAUCCUCAUGACCCUACUCUGGAAUUGCUCCAGAUUCCUUUCUUAAAUGUGACCUUCCGAUUGGACUACAAUACUCCAGAUGCAGUCCAACCAGGCAAGAGUCUAGUAGGAAUAUCACCUCCCUUGUUCUGGGUACUAUACUUGCAUUGAUGUAACCUAAUAUAUAAGCUUUUUUGGUUGUUGAAUCAUAUUGUUUGUAGUUCAACUUAUAGUCCAAAAGUUCUGUGCUCCACCCUCCAUCCUGCGAUUGAUGGAUUGAUUUUGUGGAACCAAAAUGUAGAAUUUGCAUUUAUCCCUUUUGAAUUUCAAUUUAUUAGACUUGGCUCAUCAUCAUUCUAGCCUGUAGAGUUAUUUUGUGCUAUACAUUGUGUUAGCUAUCCCCCUAGCUUUAUAUUAUCUGAAAAUCUGUUAAACAUGUCACCCACGCUUUCACUCAAGUCACUGAUAAAAAUGUCAACAACAUAGGGCCAACAAGAGAUCUUUUGUUGAAAGAGUUCUCCUCUUAGGAUCACAGACUUAGCAAGGUGAGAGGAGCCUAAGAGGUCUGCUCAUUCAUUUUACAAAUAUGGAAACUGAGACAUGGGGAGAAAUUCAUUGACUUGCUUGAGAUCGAUCCAUUCCUCUGACUCCAAAUGUAGCCCUCUUUCCACUGUACACAGCUGUGUGACAUCAAUCCAUUAAAUCCAUUAAUCACUACA